GUCGCGGGACGGGCUGCUGCUGAGACAGAAACUUAAAAUGGAUAAUAAGAGUAAAAAACGCCCGGAUGGCGCUGAGAAGCAUCGGGAAAAAAAGCCUAAGUCUCUGGAGGUGGAGGCUGCUAAAUGUGCCAAACUGACGGACCUAUUUGGUGCCGGGUUCACCAGCCCAGCAGCAGCAGGUGCGCCGGGAGACGAGCGAGGAGGACUCGACAAUGAUGAGCGAGUGGAGGCAGACAUGUUGACCACUUGACAUGUGAGAGCCUGAGGAGUUGUUCCCCCUCUGUCCAUGUUCGAGGACUUGCUCUCUGUCUGCCUCCACUCUCUGCCUUCACUGUACCAACGUUUGUCUGUUGAGUCUCCUCUAGUCUGGUUGACCACUUGACAUGUGAGAGUCUGAGGAGUUGUUUUCCAGACACAGGUAGAGCUGGCAGGGGCGUCACCCUGGGCCUGCCCUUUUGGGCUGGGCUUCAGCUGCAGAUCUAAAGGCUGCUUCCAGGGGCAUGGGGCCCUCAGCCUUUGUUUUUCUUUGCUUCUGCACCUUACAACAUACAUCACACCUUAUUUUCACACAUCCAAACACUGUUAACACCACUGACGUGUAACAUAUUUUACACAUCCCACUACGUAGUUAGAGCUAUCUUGAUUUGGAGUUAAAUAAAUUUACUUUUGGCUUGA